AGUGAACGCUGGCGGUAGGCCUAACACAUGCAAGUCGAACGGCAGCACAGUAAGAGCUUGCUCUUACGGGUGGCGAGUGGCGGACGGGUGAGGAAUACAUCGGAAUCUACUUUUUCGUGGGGGAUAACGUAGGGAAACUUACGCUAAUACCGCAUACGACCUACGGUUGAAAGCAGGGGAUCUUCGGACCUUGCGCGAUUGAAUGAGCCGAUGUCGGAUUAGCUAGUUGGCGGGGUAAAGGCCCACCAAGUCGACGAUCCGUAGCUGGUCUGAGAGGAUGAUCAGCCACACUGGAACUGAGACACGGUCCAGACUCCUACGGGAGGCAGCAGUGGGGAAUAUUGGACAAUGGGCGCAAGCCUGAUCCAGCCAUACCGCGUGGGUGAAGAAGGCCUUCGGGUUGUAAAGCCCUUUUGUUGGGAAAGAAAAGCAGCAGGUUAAUACCCCGCUGUUCUGACGGUACCCAAAGAAUAAGCACCGGCUAACUUCGUG
rnacentral:rRNA from 1 species